rnacentral:rRNA from 1 species
UACGUAGGGUGCGAGCGUUGUUCGGAAUUACUGGGCGUAAAGGGCGCGUAGGCGGCCAUCUAAGUCAGACGUGAAAUCCCCCCGGCUUAACCUGGGAACUGCGUCUGAUACUGGAAGGCUUGAGUAUGGCAGAGGGAGGUGGAAUUCCACGUGUAGCGGUGAAAUGCGUAGAUAUCUGGAGGAAUACCGGUGGCGAAGGCGGCAUCCUGGACCGAGAUUGACACUAAAGCGCGAAAGCCAGGGGAGCAAACGGG